GGGUUGUGACUGGAGCAAUCUGUUACCUCUGCUUGAAUCAAAUUGCACUAGUCCCGGCCUGC
rnacentral:pre_miRNA from 1 species